GGCCCUGUAGUGUAGAGGUUAUCACAUGGGAUUCUGACCGUUCAACACGAUUUCCCAUAACCCAGGUUCGAGUCCUGGCAGGGCCU